rnacentral:rRNA from 2 species
UCAGGAUGAACGCUGCGGCGUGCCUAAUACAUGCAAGUCGAGCGAAUGGAUUGAGAGCUUGCUCUCAAGAAGUUAGCGGCGGACGGGUGAGUAACACGUGGGUAACCUGCCCAUAAGACUGGGAUAACUCCGGGAAACCGGGGCUAAUACCGGAUAACAUUUUGAACCGCAUGGUUCGAAAUUGAAAGGCGGCUUCGGCUGUCACUUAUGGAUGGACCCGCGUCGCAUUAGCUAGUUGGUGAGGUAACGGCUCACCAAGGCAACGAUGCGUAGCCGACCUGAGAGGGUGAUCGGCCACACUGGGACUGAGACACGGCCCAGACUCCUACGGGAGGCAGCAGUAGGGAAUCUUCCGCAAUGGACGAAAGUCUGACGGAGCAACGCCGCGUGAGUGAUGAAGGCUUUCGGGUCGUAAAACUCUGUUGUUAGGGAAGAACAAGUGCUAGUUGAAUAAGCUGGCACCUUGACGGUACCUAACCAGAAAGCCACGGCUAACUACGUGCCAGCAGCCGCGGUAAUACGUAGGUGGCAAGCGUUAUCCGGAAUUAUUGGGCGUAAAGCGCGCGCAGGUGGUUUCUUAAGUCUGAUGUGAAAGCCCACGGCUCAACCGUGGAGGGUCAUUGGAAACUGGGAGACUUGAGUGCAGAAGAGGAAAGUGGAAUUCCAUGUGUAGCGGUGAAAUGCGUAGAGAUAUGGAGGAACACCAGUGGCGAAGGCGACUUUCUGGUCUGUAACUGACACUGAGGCGCGAAAGCGUGGGGAGCAAACAGGAUUAGAU